rnacentral:rRNA from 1 species
GGGCUAUAACGGUAGCCGGUGCCUCUAGGUGCGAGUCGAGCGGACAGAUGGGAGCUUGCUCCCUGAUGUUAGCGGCGGACGGGUGAGUAACACGUGGGUAACCUGCCUGUAAGACUGGGAUAACUCCGGGAAACCGGGGCUAAUACCGGAUGGUUGUUUGAACCGCAUGGUUCAAACAUAAAAGGUGGCUUCGGGUACCACUUACAGAUGGACCCGCGGCGCAUUAGCUAGUUGGUGAGGUAACGGCUCACCAAGGCGACGAUGCGUAGCCGACCUGAGAGGGUGAUCGGCCACACUGGCACUGAGACACGGCCCAAACUCCUACGGGAGGCAGCAGUAGGGAAUCUUCCGCAAUGGACGAAAGUCUGACGGAGCAACGCCGCGUGAGUGAUGAAGGUUUUCGGAUCGUAAAGCUCUGUUGUUAGGGAAGAACAAGUACCGUUCGAAUAGGGCGGUACCUUGACGGUACCUAACCAGAAAGCCACGGCUAACUACGUGCCAGCAGCCGCGGUAAUACGUAGGUGGCAAGCGUUGUCCGGAAUUAUUGGGCGUAAAGGGCUCGCAGGCGGUUUCUUAAGUCUGAUGUGAAAGCCCCCGGCUCAACCGGGGAGGGUCAUUGGAAACUGGGGAACUUGAGUGCAGAAGAGGAGAGUGGAAUUCCACGUGUAGCGGUGAAAUGCGUAGAGAUGUGGAGGAACACCAGUGGCGAAGGCGACUCUCUGGUCUGUAACUGACGCUGAGGAGCGAAAGCGUGGGGAGCGAACAGGAUUAGAUACCCUGGUAGUCCACGCCGUAACGAUGAGUGCUAAGUGUUAGGGGGUUUCCGCCCCUUAGUGCUGCAGCUAACGCAUUAGCACCUCCGCCUGGGAGUACGUCGCAGACUGAACUCAAGAUGACGGGGGCCCGCACAAGCGGUGGAGCAUGUGGUUUAUUCGAGCACGCGAAGAACUUA